GGCCAGGCCUGCAAGCGGUGCCUCCUCCCAGCCCCACCCUGCCUUUUGUCUUUGUCUCUGACAUCUGCGUUCCUUCUGAGUGUGCUUUGCUUCUUUCUGCUGCUCGAUGGCUAAUAGGAUUGAGCGGGAAGGCGCCAGGAGAGCCGGCAGCCCGGCCUGGGAGGGGCUCUCACUCUUCCUCUGCCAGAAGCCUUAUCGAGCGCAGGGUGUUUGACUUCAGAAACACAUCCCCACGGCUUUCCUUUCCGCCUUCCUUCUGGGACUGAUUUGUUUACUUCUUUCAGAGGUUCGCCGUCCCUCUUUCUGCAGGGGUUUGCUGGAUCACAGGUCCCCAGUGCCCCGGACAUAGUGUGUGAGGAAUGCGGGUAUGAGAGAUACUAACAUAGGCAAAGUCGGCUCAUCUCAUCCAACCUCACCACCCUGUGCAUUGCAACCCCACAGUGCAAUGUAAAGAUGGGGAAACAGGCCCAGAGACUCAAGAGAAAUGAAACGAGUGGAGAUUGAGACUGAACUGGACCGGGAUCCGGGCCCCACAGCUGGGCUUGUCCCGAGGCUGUGUGCUGCCCCCGGAGCUCCUUGGAUGGAGAAGCGCUCCCUGCCCCUCCCUGCUCCAUGCCUGGCUUAGACACACGGCGGCCCUGCUCAUGCCUGAAAUUCCACCCUUAGCCACCCUCCCCUGUUUGGCAUUGCCCUCGCACCCCCUCUCGAGGGACACAGAAACCCCGCGUGUGGGUGUCCUCACUGCAGGUCUCCCUACCUGGCAGGCGGGGAAUGUUUUGGGGCAGGUGGUGGGCAAUGGAGGAGAAACAGUAAGCAGGGAUUUCAGGAAGAAGAAAACGCCAGCAAGAUCUGAUCCUGGUCCUCAAAGAGCAUGGAGACCCUCUUUAUACAAAUGGGAAUACUGAGGUAUGCAGUUCGAGAGGAUUGACCGAGGCCAUUUGGCUGGUUGAAGAGCGAUGCUGCGUGUCCAGAGCAGCGGGUGUGGGAGGCAGAGCCUGGAGCUCCCAGAGCCGGCGGCCCACGGCCUCGCCUCCAGCCAGGAGGGUGCGGAAUUCUCCCCCACCCAGCAGAGGCUCUGGCCAUCUGUCUCCAAGGAUGCGGGGGAGCGGACCGGCUGUGCCGCUCUAGGGCUGCUCCGCCUGACAGACAGCAGUGUCGACCACCCAUGUUUGCUGCACAGACUCUAGCUUCCACACCCCUCCCCACCCCAGCAGCCUGGGGAAGGAAGGCUGGAGGUCCCUGCAUGACGGGUGAGGAGAGAGGACAGGAGCCCGGUGCUCUGAACACCGCCCCAGCCCAGCUGCACGUCAGGACCCCGCACUGGCCUCUUACAUUGAGAAGCCAAGACCCACCCAAAACCCAGCUAUCAAAGUCUCUGGGGACAGCACCAGCAGGGCAGAGGGCGUUGGUUCCCUUAGAAUGUGCUAGAAGGCUCAUCCCUGCAGGAGGUGCCCCUGCAGGCAUCCUUGCCCCCACACUGCCUGGUGCUGCCCACCUGCUCACUUGCAGGUGACCCUAGUUUCUCAGUGGCUCGGCAGCCUCGCGGGCUGUUGUAACACUGACACCACGUCUGUGAGAUCAUUGGCUUGGAAGAUUCAGCUCAGAAUUGGAUAGAAGGGCCCUGCCCUGCCAGGCACAGCUGCCGGCCCUUGUCACCUGCAGCUGCAUGAGAAACUAAGGCUCAAACCAAAUCCUUCUGGACAGAAAAGCAGGUCCCCCUCCACUACCCCUUCGUCUGGGCUCUCGGUCAGCGGGGUCAGGGUGGCCGGGACAGUCACUCUCAUUUCCAGAGGAGGCGAGAGGCAGAUGAAGGCCAUGGACAGCAAGCCAUGGGGCCACAGCACAGCCUCAGGUCGUUGCUGACACACCUGCGCCUCCCACAGCCCUCCCCAGGAAAGCCGCGGCAGAGCUCACCCCACUCCCAGGGUGCUCACCUGGGACCUCCUCACCUCUGCACCUGCCCUGGGUAUCCUCAGCCGUGACCCUGGCCUGGCAGUGCCGGCGGACAGGUUGCAACCAGCCCAGCUCCCCAGGGGUGAGAGGGGCCCAUCACCGGCCACCCACAGGCAUCCCUGGGUCUGCUUUUUGGAGCAGUGUCCGGGGUUCCCUUCAUAUCCUUUAUAUCUAUGUGAACCUGACCGGCACACUCACUCCAGGCCCAGGUGUUCUGUAAACACUGAACACCAUGCUGUUAACCAAGGUUACGUUAAAAAGUGACUAUGUGGCCAGGAAAUAGAUUUUGUAUAGUUAUGUGCUGUUAGGAUAGAUACGGGUUUUCGUCUGCGGCUCCUGGCUUAUAACUCCCAUAGCACUUGUUCCCAUUUGCGUUAGAAUGUUGGGGGUGUUGAGCCUCAUGGGCAGCCUCUGCCUUCUCCUGCCCUCCUUUCACCUGCCCCAAGGCGGCACCCUAACUUUCUCCUGCCUUUCGGAUUGUGGGUCUUAAGACCCUCCCAUGAGAGGGUCCCAUCCUAUGCCAUGGGGGAAGGAAUGCUGACAUCAUGAAGCUUCCAUAAAAUCCCAAGAGGACUCGGUUCAGUGCGGUUCCUGGAGUGUGGCGCGCCCAGCAAGGAUGUGGGAGCUCUGCGUCCCUUCCUCCCACUUCGGUCUACGCAUCUCUUCAUCUGCAAUAUUCUUUUUCAUUAAUCUAUAAAUGUGUUUGCCUGA
rnacentral:lncRNA from 1 species